GACGAACGCUGGCGGCGUGCUUAACACAUGCAAGUCGAACGGUAAGGCCCUUCGGGGUACACGAGUGGCGAACGGGUGAGUAACACGUGGGUGAUCUGCCCUGCACUUCGGGAUAAGCCUGGGAAACUGGGUCUAAUACCGGAUAGGACCCUGGGAUGCAUGUCCUGGGGUGGAAAGCUUUUGCGGUGGGGGAUGGGCCCGCGGCCUAUCAGCUUGUUGGGGGGGUGAUGGCCUACCAAGGCGACGACGGGUAGCCGGCCUGAGAGGGUGACCGGCCACACUGGGACUGAGGUACGGCCCAGACUCCUACGGGAGGCUGCAGUGGGGAAUAUUGCACAAUGGGCGCAAGCCUGAUGCAGCGACGCCGCGUGGGGGAUGACGGCCUUCGGGUUGUAAACCUCUUUCAGCACCGACGAAGCGCAAGUGACGGUAGGUGCAGAAGAAGGACCGGCCAACUACGUGCCAGCCGCCGCGGUAA
rnacentral:rRNA from 1 species